GGGAGCAGCCCAGAGCCUGAAUCAGUGUGUGUGUUAGUGGAAGCGUCUGGAAAGGCGCGCGAUACAGGGUGACAGCCCCGUACACAAAAAUGCACAUGCUGUGAGCUCGAUGAGUAGGGCGGGACACGUGGUAUCCUGUCUGAAUAUGGGGGGACCAUCCUCCAAGGCUAAAUACUCCUGACUGACCGAUAGUGAACCAGUACCGUGAGGGAAAGGCGAAAAGAACCCCGGCGAGGGGAGUGAAAAAGAACCUGAAACCGUGUACGUACAAGCAGUGGGAGCACGCUUAGGCGUGUGACUGCGUACCUUUUGUAUAAUGGGUCAGCGACUUAUAUUCUGUAGCAAGGUUAACCGAAUAGGGGAGCCGAAGGGAAACCGAGUCUUAACUGGGCGUUAAGUUGCAGGGUAUAGACCCGAAACCCGGUGAUCUAGCCAUGGGCAGGUUGAAGGUUGGGUAACACUAACUGGAGGACCGAACCGACUAAUGUUGAAAAAUUAGCGGAUGACUUGUGGCUGGGGGUGAAAGGCCAAUCAAACCGGGAGAUAGCUGGUUCUCCCCGAAAGCUAUUUAGGUAGCGCCUCGUGAAUUCAUCUCCGGGGGUAGAGCACUGUUUCGGCAAGGGGGUCAUCCCGACUUACCAACCCGAUGCAAACUGCGAAUACCGGAGAAUGUUAUCACGGGAGACACACGGCGGGUGCUAACGUCCGUCGUGAAGAGGGAAACAACCCAGACCGCCAGCUAAGGUCCCAAAGUCAUGGUUAAGUGGGAAACGAUGUGGGAAGGCCCAGACAGCCAGGAUGUUGGCUUAGAAGCAGCCAUCAUUUAAAGAAAGCGUAAUAGCUCACUGGUCGAGUCGGCCUGCGCGGAAGAUGUAACGGGGCUAAACCAUG
rnacentral:rRNA from 1 species